rnacentral:tmRNA from 1 species
GGGGGCGACAGGUUUCGACGGCGUGUUGGAGAGUCUGGAGGAGCAGGCCGAGUUAUGUCCGUAAUUCUCGUUAAACAUUCGGACAAGACGAUAAACGUCGAAGAUAAUUACGCAUUGGCGGCUUAAGGCCGUCACGUUGAGGGAUGCGGCUAGUCUACUGGCCCGCCUGAGGCGUCACUUUAGGUAGAUGCUCCAUCCGUUGUCCGAUUCUCGCGCGGGUGGAAAAGACAAGAGAUCUUGGAACGAGGGGGCUGUUUCCUGCCUGAACUCGAACGACAAUUAAAUGGAAACUAAGCCUGUAGUGCCGCCACGACUGGCCCACGUCGGACCGGAGUUCGAUUCUCCGCGCCUCCACCA